rnacentral:lncRNA from 1 species
CCGGAGUCGCCGUUCGAGGUGGUCCCGGACAGAGCCGCCUUCGACCGCGAGUUCGGCCCCGCGCUCGGCCAGAUCCCCGAGGGCCGCGUGUGCCACUUCCCGCCCAAACCCCGCGGCGUGGCCGGAGUGACCGCAGGAGUGACCGCGGGAGUGACCGCAGGAGUGACCGCGGCAGGGGUGACCGGCGCGGGCAGGGGUCCGGCCCGGCCGCCCCCCGGCUCGGCGGCGGCGCUGGAGGAGGUGUCGCGCUGCGUGCGGGAGAUGCACAGCUUCACCAGCGAGCUGCUCUCCUGGGACCUGGUGGAGCGCAACGGCGGCCACGGCGACGAUAACGGCGUGGCCAGCGACGAUAACGGCGUGGCCAGCGAGGAUAACGGCGUGGCCAGCGAGGAUAACGGCGUGGCCAGUGCCGGGAGCAGCAUGGCCAGUGCUGGGAACGGCGUGGCCAGUGCUGGGAAUGGUGUCACCAGCACUGGGAACAGCGUCGCUGGUCUCACUGGCAUUGGGAACGGUGUCACCGGUGUCACCGCCAUUGGGAACGGUGUCACUGGUGUCACUGGUGUCACUGGUGUCACUGGUGUCACUGGUGUUGGGAAUGACGUCACCGCCAUCGGGAAUGGCGUCACCGGUUUCGGGAGCGGUGUCCCUGGCAUUGGGAGCGCUGUCACUGCUGUCACCAGCCUGGAGAGCGAUGUCACCAUCACCGGGAGUGGCCUCGGUGGCACCGGGAAUGUCCCCAGAGGUGUCCCCGGCGUAGGGAGCGGCGUCACCGGAGGUGUCCCCGCUGUCCCCACCGCUGUCCCCACGGACGCCGACAGCUCCGGUGACUCCGACGAUACCGUCAUCGAGGAGGCUCCGGGCCAGCCCCCCCGUGCUGUCCCCAGCGCUGUCCCCAGCGAUGUCCCCAGGGAUGUCCCCAAGGAUGUCCCCAGGGAUGUCCCCAGGGAUGUCCCCGUCCCCGCCGCCGCCUCCCAGGACUGGGAGCAGGAGCGCCAGACCCUGCGGGCGCUGCAGGAACUGGGGGAGCCCCCCCGGCCCCCCCCAGCCGGGCCCCUGCCCCACCUGGCAGGUAAAGCCCCAAAAAUGGACUUUUGUACCCCAAAACGGCGCCGACGGCAGCGGGGGGAGGGGGGGCGGCUGCGAAAGGCCCCAAAAAUGGGGCAAAAGAGGAGGAGGAGGAGGAGGAGGAAGGGGGAGACCCCACCCCAAAAUGCUGCUGGGAGGGGAGGUUCGUGUGCGCUUUGUUUUGGGGUAAAAUCCCGGGAUUUGGGGCCAAACCUGCCGGCAUGCCUGGGAAGGGUUAAUUAAUGCCUGGUUUUAGUGGGGGGGGUGUAAUUAAGGCCUGUGUUUAAUGAAGGGGCUCGUUUAAUGAGUGAGGGUAAUUAGCGGGGAGUUGGGGUCAUUUUGGGCUGAAUUGUGGUGAAUUUUGUCCCUGUGCUG